rnacentral:lncRNA from 1 species
CAUUCAAAUUGGUUUUAUUGCUGUCCUUGCUUUCUUUAAAUUUGAUCCCUUCACACUCAGCUGUAGUGAGCAUAGAUCUAGGCUCAGAAUGGAUGAAAGUAGCUGUUGUGAACCUAAAACCAGGGCAGUCCCCAAUUUCCAUUGCAAUCAAUGAGAUGUCAAAGAGGAAAUCCCCAGAGCCAAGAAAUGAUAUUCAAUUGAUGUUUUUUUCCACUGCUGUGAUAAUUGAUUAGUUGAGAUAAAACAAUAUUAUACUUCAAUAGAGCCAAUAAAUGAUAUUCAAUUUUUUUUUUUUUUUUUUUACUUUAGAUUUGUUCCCAUUUGUAAGAAUUAAACUUUUAGAGUAUUUGAAUACUUUGCUAUUAUAUUCUGGUAAAGGUAACAUAUAGUAUUGGGUUUAGAAAUCUGCUUUUGAAGCUGAAUUGGAUUCAGAUAUUUUUAUCUGUGUAAUUUACUUUUACAAGGUAAUUUAUCUUGUGGAGGUGCCGUUCAUGCUUUUCUGAAUAGCCAGCACUCAGGUUGGCUUGAUGGAAAUAACUAUUAACUUGUUAUCAAUCUGUUUUUGUUGGAGAUUUAAUUUUGACAUUAAUUUUGUAGUUUGAUGGCGAUUAGCAGUUUUGUAAGUGACAGUCUCGCCAUUGGAUGAAGUUAUGUAGUUGUGUAUUGUGUUUUUUAUGUAGUUAUCUUGCUAAUCUUAUUUAAGAAGUUAUAGUGAUAAGGUUGACAAAUCUAAUUUAUUCUCUUUGAUCACUUAAAACAUGAGUUGAGUAAUUUGCUGGCAUCUAAACUAAUUUGAUUAUUUUAAUUGUAAUUUGGGCUUCCCCAUGAUGAUUUUUAUCAUAUGUAAUAAACUUUUUAAUUAGCUCUAAUAGAUUAGCAAAAGUAAGGUGAUUAUUUUUAAAAUCUUAAGUGAUUAACUGAUUAUAUGAGCAAAUUCUUGAAAUUCUAUAUCAUACUUGCUGGACUUAAAUUUGAUCAUCAGAUCAAUUUGGAAUUUGACUGACUGCUCUAAUGAUGUUUCACUUCACUAAUUGUUAUUAUUCUCUCCUUCAAUAAUUGGUUUUUAGCAAUAGGAUUUUUUCAUAUGUUUUUGUUGUAAUUAUUAUUUAUAGCUUAAUAACUAGUUUUUUCUUUUAAGACAUCAAUUAAAAUAAAAAAAAUUUAAAAAAUAUGGGAAAAAAUAAUUUAAAAAAUAAAAAUAAAAAUUUAAGAUAAAAAAUGAAUAAUUUAAAAAAUUAUAUAUAUAUUUUUUAAUUAUUAUUUAUAGCUUAAUAACUAGUUUUUUCUUUUAAGACAUCAAUUAAAAUAAAAAAAAUUUAAAAAAUAUGGGAAAAAAUAAUUUAAAAAAUAAAAAUAAAAAUUUAAGAUAAAAAAUGAAUAAUUUAAAAAAAUAUAAAUAAUAAUUCAUAUAGGAAAACACAAAAUAAAAAUGUGGAAAAAAAAUUGUAAUUUGAAAACAUUAGCCAUCUUCUAGAGAUAGAAAAUAGUUUUCAAAUUAUUAUUACAAAUGAAUCUAGUUUCCUUUUUUUUUUUUUUUUUCUAAAUCUUCCAUCUCCAUGGAUAAUGGAAAAUGAAAAACAGAAAAGGGUUUUCUACAAAUCAACACCAUCAUAAAAGUUUUCCUUUUCUUCUUCACGCGCGAUCACCAAAGAAAAUUGUAAUCCAAAUCUCUCUUCUACACCAACAUUUUGAAUGCUGGACACGUAAACAAGUGCUUAAUUGUUUAUUCUUGUUGACUCUCCUGCCUGCUUUUGUAUUGAUGAUGCCAUAGCUUGCAGGAUGAAAAUCAUUCUCCCAUUUGCCUUUUCUGCAUGAACUAAAUGAGGCAACUUUUGCUGCUUCUGUAUAUAAUUUACUGUGCCACCUAGUUAAUUUUGGGAACUUCAUUGUUCAUUUAAAGUUCAUUUUAGCUGAUUAUGCUUGCAGUUUAAAUGUAUACUAGAUGUAAUUUCAGGCCUUUUUAACAUAGUUUUUCUUUUCUUUGCUUGUCUUGCAGAGAAGGAUUGUUUAUUUAUUAAAAUACACUGAUCAGGAUGAUGUCACUCCCAUUCAGAUUGAUUUUAUUGAUGUCCUUGCUUUCUUUAAAUUUAAUCCCUUCACACUCAGCUGUAGUGAGCAUAGAUCUAGGCACAGAUUGGAUGAAAGUAGCUGUUGGGAACCUAAAACCGGGGCAGUCCCCAUUUUCCAUUGCACUCAAUGAGAUGUCAAAGAGGAAGUCCCCAGGCUUAGUGGCAUUCCAUUCCGGUACCCGUCUUCUAGGUGAAGAAGCUGCUGGAAUCACUGCCCGUUACCCUGGCAAAGUCUAUUCCCAACUCCGUGACAUGAUUGGGAAAC